GCAACACAAUCAAUCCCAAGAUAGCAACCACAACAGUUUGUUUCACAACUGCCGAAGAUCUGCUUUGAGUCGUAGGCAUGUGGAUUUAGUUCUUCGAAAAACUACUUUGAUGCCAAGGAGAUGCAUUGAAGAUACCCUAAAAAGAGUAUUGACUUUGAUAUUCGUCACCAUCUACCGAUGUGACAAUGGAGGGCAAGAAAAAAAAAAUCCAUUCCUCACCUCCCCCGUCGGUGAGCCAAAGUGCACGUGGUGUUAUUUCUUCCCCCAAGUGCCUCGUCCCUGAUUUUCCCGCUCCUCCUCCAUAAUUGACUGGCAAUUAUACUGGUUGAUGAAGCCCUUGAGCUACUGCUUGGUGGGGUUGUCGGCUGGGCCUCUACUUCCAUUUUAGCACCUGAAAGUCACAGAAAGUACC